rnacentral:rRNA from 1 species
UGGGGAACCUGCCCCAUAGUCUGGGAUACCACUUGGAAACAGGUGCUAAUACCGGAUAAGAAAGCGGAUCGCAUGAUCAGCUUUUAAAAGGCGGCGUAAGCUGUCGCUAUGGGAUGGCCCCGCGGUGCAUUAGCUAGUUGGUAAGGUAAAGGCUUACCAAGGCGAUGAUGCAUAGCCGAGUUGAGAGACUGAUCGGCCACAUUGGGACUGAGACACGGCCCAAACUCCUACGGGAGCAGCAGUC